CCUACGGGAGGCAGCAGUGGGGAAUAUUGCACAAUGGGCGAAAGCCUGAUGCAGCAACGCCGCGUGAGCGAUGAAGGCCUUCGGGGCGUAAAGCCCUGUCCUCAAGGAAGAUAAUGACGGUACUUGAGGAGGAAGCCCCGGCUAACUACGUGCCAGCAGCGGCGGUAAUACGUAGGGGGCUAGCGUUAUCCGGAAUUACUGGGCGUAAAGGGUGCGUAGGUGGUUUCGUAAGUCAGAGGUGAAAGGCUACGGCUCAACCGUAGUAAGCCUUUGAAACUGGGGAACUUGAGUGCAGGAGAGGAGAGUGGAAUUCCUAGUGUAGCGGUGAAAUGCGUAGAUAUUAGGAGGAACACCAGUUGCGAAGGCGGCUCUCUGGACUGUAACUGACACUGAGGCACGAAAGCGUGGGGAGCAAACAGGAUUAGAUACCCGAGUAGUC
rnacentral:rRNA from 1 species